GGACCAUUAGCUCAGUUGGUAGAGCACCUGACUCUUAAUCAGGGUGUCCUGGGUUCGAGUCCCCGAUGGUCCACCA
rnacentral:tRNA from 1 species